ensembl:lncRNA
GAUCUAAAUCACUGGGAAAGGAUGUGGGCUCUUAAACUGUACAACUGUGAGCUCUGUGGGAGUGAUUUUGUGAGCUGCACGGCUCUGAGGUAUCACUUUCAACAGAAGCAUCUUGGAAAAGUUCACUGCGAAAAAUGUGGCCAAGAAGUCCGGGGGAUAAGCUCCAAGAUCACAGCAAGGUACCUGGGUGCACAUGGGAGGAAGUUGAGAACCUCCCACUUUUUCUAAAAUAUUCAUGCUUUUUGUCCAUUGGCUUUAAGUCUCUUAUGAAGAUUUAUUAACAGAAAAUGAAAAGUUAAAACUCAUGACCCGAGGCCAUGGGUGGCAUGCAGUGGACAAAGCUGUCCAUCCCAGUCUUCUCAGCUAUAAAGGGCCAUCUCAGGGCUGCUGUGAAGGACACUCCACAGAGUUCCCUGGACACAAAUGUUAUACCCAGGACACUGCUAUUAUUAUAGUUAUGAUUCCAAAGGACUUAUCUAGGGAUAGGGUUCUCACAGUCCUGGAAUUUUUCACUUUCAGUGUGACCUUAGAGGCAGACUAAUGUCCUUCCUUCCUUCCUCCUCCUCAUUUUACAAAUGAGUAAUCAAAGAUGCAAUUCAGCUGACUGAUUUGCCCAAGGCCUGAGAAAGUAAAUGUCAGAAAAAGAGCUAGGGUCUCAUUCUUCUGAUUUUAUGAAAUGAAACCUAGUACUUUUUAAAAGAUCAUUUUUUCAGCACUGUGGUUCUCAUGGUUCUUCACUUUAUUAAUCUACUGCAGUUUUCCAUCUGCAACAAAGAAAAAAAAAAACUAAUGGAUUUUGUUCUGUUUUGAGAAUACAGAAUGAGAAUUCACCGGACCCAUGAAUGAGCGCAUUUCUUGAGAAGUCAAAUGAAAUCUGGCAGAUUGCUCAAAAAGCUUUUGUAAUUCCUGUGUUAAGUAUUUACUUUUGCUCAGUCUAUAUCUCACAGGUCAACCAUGGAGACACACAAGCUAAACUGGGUAAAUCUAGAAGAAAGGAAUAUAAUGCAUAAGGCUACAAAAAUAUCAAAAUCCUGUAGAAUGUGUUGUAGGCACUUUGGAACAAUCCUUAGUCGGGAGAACCAUGAAAGACAAGAGCAUCACUUCACAGCCAGUAAAAGAGCCCAAAUGUCCACAGGAUUUUCACCUCAUAAUAUGUUGGAAUGUAAAGGUUCCCAAGAACUACAGAGAUUUGCAGACAAAAAAAUCCACCCUGCCUCAGGUUCUCAGAGAGCUGCUUGUGUGGCUGAAAUAGAUGCCUUCCUCCAGCUGAUCCAGGGUUGCUUUCCGGUACCCAUCUCCCGAGUGAUCCAGGGUGGUUCUUAUGUAAAGGGGACUGAUACUCAAGGAUGCUCUGAGAUCGACAUCGUGUUGCUCAGUGAUGUGUUUGGCAGUGUGAACCAUUCCAAGAAACAACUGAGAGAAGGACUGGAGGCUCUGAGGGAAAACCUGAAGCAAACUUCACAGGGGAACAGGAUCCUAAUGGGGAAGAGAACAUCACUGUCUUUAAGAUUCAAUUAUUUAUGCACUGAAAGUCUUCACAGCCAUUCCUUUGAGAUCAUGGCCUACUAUGAUGUGCUGGGGCCUACACCUUCCACAGGUAAGAUUGAUUGAUUUGUUUCACAGGAAAUCUUUAAAAUGGCUGUUCAUUCAUUAUGUAUUUAUAGAGGACUGACCACAUC